UGGUUCUACAUACAGUACCUGUAUUGAUAGUCCAUACUGGUCUUUACUAUGGUUCUACAUACAGUAUCUGUAUUGAUAGUCCAUACUGGUCUUUACUAUGGUUCUACAUACAGUAUCUGUAUUGAUGAGGGCCUCAUCAUCUGACUGCACAAAGAAAGCCAGGGACUGCAGUGUGUUCCAGUCUCCAGCAGGGGGCAGUAGAAUCAUAUGGACCUGAAAGAGACUGCAGUGUGCUCCAGUCUCCAGCAGGGGGCAGUAAAACCCUAUGGACCUGAAAGAGACUGCAGUGUGCUCCAGUCUCCAGCAGGGGGCAGUAAAACCCUAUGGACCUGAAAGGGACUGCAGUGUGCUCCAGUCUCCAGCAGGGGGCAGUAAAACCCUAUGGACCUGAAAAGGAAAGUGAGGAGUAAAAAUCAAAGGUAAAGGUGUGUCAAAUGGAAGGGCAAGUCUCACCACUGAGAGGAAAACAUCACUGGUCCACCUCUGCAUCAGGUCAGCUAUGUUGAUCAGUACUGUCCCAGGGAUGCUGGGAGCAGAGAUGAACUCCCCUGACCUGGUACCACCUAUGGAGUUGUCAUUUUAAUAUCAGUUUAACCCCAUUACUGCUAUAACACAUAAACCAUGUUAAUAG